rnacentral:rRNA from 1 species
AUUGAACGCUGGCGGCAGGCCUAACACAUGCAAGUCGGGCGGAUGAAGGGAGCUUGCUCCUGGAUUCAGCGGCGGACGGGUGAGUAAUGCCUAGGAAUCUGCCUGGUAGUGGGGGAUAACGUCCGGAAACGGGCGCUAAUACCGCAUACGUCCUGAGGGAGAAAGUGGGGGAUCUUCGGACCUCACGCUAUCAGAUGAGCCUAGGUCGGAUUAGCUAGUUGGUGGGGUAAAGGCCUACCAAGGCGACGAUCCGUAACUGGUCUGAGAGGAUGAUCAGUCACACUGGAACUGAGACACGGUCCAGACUCCUACGGGAGGCAGCAGUGGGGAAUAUUGGACAAUGGGCGAAAGCCUGAUCCAGCCAUGCCGCGUGUGUGAAGAAGGUCUUCGGAUUGUAAAGCACUUUAAGUUGGGAGGAAGGGCAGUAAGUUAAUACCUUGCUGUUUUGACGCUACCAACAGAAUAAGCACCGGCUAACUUCGUG